ensembl:lncRNA
UCUACUUUGAGAUUGUCUCCUCUGGGAGCUUCUGGAGAGCCCUGAUCCUCAGAAUGGGAAUGAUGGGGGGGAAGAAAAAAACGCCAAAGAACCAAAACCACCAAAUCAUCUGACCCUUUAAAAGCAAAUUCAGUGUUCCAGGAAAAAGAAACAGCUGGAACAGUGUUAAAAGCAGCACACCUAUGUUUGGCUGUUACUGAGCAGUGGGAGUACAGCGGAAGUCAGACAGGCCCAUUACUGUGAAAGAACUGCUGCCAUGAUGGUGUUGCAACAAGGGGAGUCAGAACCAGGACAGGUGCCUGAAUUAGGUUAUCUCAUAUUAAGUGACACCAUGUGGAUGGCCAUUGAGCUGUGGGAAGUUGGCCAGUGCAGCUGCUGUUCUGGGGUAGCUGGUGUCAGUCGGUGGACACUGAGGCCUUGCAUUGCUGGUGGAGAGUUGUAUUGCUCCUGUGCGUUCAUCAGUAGGUAGCAAUUGCAUUGUGGCUAUAUAUAUAUUGUUAUCAUUGCACUUUUGUUUCCAUUUCCCUCUUCUGUCAUAGUAAAUAGCUUUUAUCUCAACCUGCAAGUUCUAUUUUGUUUCCAAUUCUCUCUCUCAUCCCACUUGCGGGAAAGUGAGUAAAUGGAUGUGUGCUGUUAGCCACGUGCUGGGCUAAACCAUGACAGUGCUAGAUCUGAAAGCAAUGAAUUCUCAACGUAACUGGAGAAACUAUCUACUAGACUUCACCCUGCUGAACUGACUGACAUGGAAGUUCAGCUGUGUAUAAGUAGUAAAGCUUCUGUGGAGAAUGAGUUAUUUUACACGUUUUUAUUUACAGCAGUGAAGGUUCUCCAAUUCCUGGUAAUAUCAAUUGGUACUAUGCUCAGAUAAUGCCCUUUUGAUGUUGAUAUGCUUAUAUAUAAUCUAGAAAUUACAGAAUACUGCAACACAUCCAAAAGGCCUGUUGACAAUUGGUAAUGUUAUUAGUUUGCAAGAAAAGACUACAACUUGUUUACCUGUCAGUCUUUCUGAUGCUGUGGAUUUUUGCUAAUCUUGAAUGUUAUGUUUGGUGUGUUGUAUCCAAAGGCAGAAUGCAUGGGGAUUUUAUUUACUGUUGUCUUAUAGUGGUUUGCAGUAACCUUAAGAAAUACUGUUAUAAAUCAUGCUUGAACCGUGACUUUGUUCUCAGUUCCUGAGAAAUCUGGCUUAUUGUCUUUCCAUAACUAGUGAAGUACUCUUGUAUCUUUGCUUUUUGAUCUAUUUUUACUUUGUGAAGUUCACUUACUCAUGUCUGAUAACACUAAUAUGAAGUUUUCACCAUGAAAACCUUUUUUUAUAACUAUUUUGGCAUCAUAUAAAAUAUUAAAGUAAACAAAUAACAAAAACAUAGGGCUGUUUUUCCUGUCUAGUGAGUCAGUUUGAGCUUCUGGCCCUUUUUGAAGAUACUGUUAAAUAUUUGGAAUUUAGACCCAUUAUUUCAUCUCUUUAAUGUGAAACUUUAUGGAAAUAGCAGUGCUUAUUCUAAAAAAGGGCUAAUUUCUUUUGAAGAAAGACUUAGUGUCAUAUUCAAGAAAUUAAUGUCUACUUGUUGAAGAGCUGACAGCAUUGUGAUUGAAGAUGCUCUAUUAGUUUUUCUUCCUUUCUGCAUGGUUUAAUACUAAGCUUAAUUACAUCUUUCAUUGCAGAGGUGAUGCUUCAUUGUCACAAUUCUAGAUUUAAUUUACAAAUUUAGGAAUAUUGUCUGAGCCAGAGACUAGGCAAAUAUGCAUAAGAAAUACUGUUUAGUUUUGUUCUGAUGAAAAGCAAUUAUCCCUAUUUGUCAUUUUACUGAAGAGAAGAUGUGCCCAACUCUCCUGUAGAUCUUACCAAUUUAACUAUUCCCAUGAUGCUUCCUGUGAAGCUGGGUGAGAUAAUCCAGAUCUCUUUGUCAGGGAGCACAUGAAAUUUCCCAUUGUAGCAUGUACCUUCCUUGUUCCCUCCUUCUCCUAAAUCAUUUCAGCAGGGUUGGGGGCUGGAAGAGAAAUUCUGCCAUUGCCUCAUCAGUAGAGGAGCCCUGGGGAAUGUUGAGAAUAAGGGGAAAAAUGUGAAUCAGAUCUGCCCAACGCAGCGUUUUGGCAUGGUAUGUAAAGGUGUUGCGCCAGCUCAAAACACUGCAAAUAAAUAUCUUGAACAGAUGUUACUAAAGGGCUUCUUACUAUUCUACAUGUAAUGCCACUUAGAUAAGCAGAGCUCUCACUGUAGUCCUUUAGAUAUUUGCAAAGAAUGUCAGGAUUCUGACAGGGCCUGUCAUACAACUGACAGUCAGUAUUUUUUCUUUAAAAGAAAGGUGUGUUAUAGCAAAACUCAAGCAAAAAGUCACUAGUGACAAGUGCUUUUUAUUUUAAUACUAAUAAAGGUCUGAUACAAAAAAUAAAACAUCUAUUUAAAAUUUUCCCUAGAAUUCUAAUCUUCUGUGUUUUAAAUGAUGAAUGGAAAUUGUAAUGGAGAUCCUUCUAAGGAAGAUGAAUAGCUUCUGUUGGAAGAGAAGAAAGGAAAUAGUCAUCUUGAAUGGAGUAUUUUACUUUUCUGUAUUCUACUGUUUCAGUUAAAGCAAACCUGAAAAACAACAGUAUUUGACCCACUUUCACCCACUUCAUGUGGUGAAUUUUAGUAAAAUGUUACUGAUUAGUAAAUAAAUAUAUUUUCUUUAUAUGCCUGUAUAUUUUACAUAUAAAUCACUUUGUUCAAUUUAAUUUUUGUAAAUAGCAGAAUAAAUGAAAUGAACCAAU